rnacentral:snRNA from 1 species
CCACUUACCUGACAGGGGAGAUACCAUGAUCAUGAAGGUGGUUUUUCAUGGGUGAGACUCAUCCAUUGCAUUCUGGAUGUAUUGAUUUCCCCAAACAAGAGAAAUAAAUAAAAUAAUGCAGGGGCGGGGCAUGGUGGCUCAUACCUGUA